rnacentral:rRNA from 1 species
GGCUGUGUUUAUGGCAGUAGUGAGACACCCGUUUCCAUUCCGAACACGGAAGUUAAGCCUACUAGCGGCGAUGGUACUGCAGCUUAAGUUGUGGGAGAGUAGCACGGUGCAGCCA